GGCGCUCUGGGGGCGUGCCGGCUGCGCAGGGACACGCGCUCUGGGCCGCAGCAACUGGCUCCAAGUUCCCUCCCUCGCUCUCCUGCGGAGCCUGCCUGAGCCCGCCCCUUCGGUGCGGAGGAGCAAACGCGGCCCCGGUCAGCUCAGCCCUCCGUUGCCGCCCGAUCCGGGCCGGUUCGGCUAACCCGGUCCAUUCCGAGCCGGCGGCGAGGACCCGGCGGCCACUUCAUCCCGGCCUGCAGUGCAUCGCGGGGCCCAAGCUCCUCCUCGCGGUCUCCGGAGCCUGGUGCCUGGCCUGGCCGCCUUGCAGGGGCCGGAGUGCGGCCAAGAAAUCCCGAGCUGGACACUGA
rnacentral:lncRNA from 1 species